rnacentral:lncRNA from 1 species
UAAAUUCCAUAUUUUUUGAAUUGGUGCUUAGCGGGCUGAUAUGAAAAGUUUAUCACAUUCUUCGAUUGUUAUCACAUGCCUUUCCGUAACGUUAUCACAUGCCUUUCCGUAACGUUAUCACAUGGCAUUCCGGUAAUACUCGGCCAAUUCCGGAAAAUACACCUCAGUGCUACGUUUUCAGUGAAAAACAUUACAAAGUAGUGUACAAAACAAUUACUUGAAUACUGGAAAGUAUAUUGUUUAAAAUAAUAAUAAUAAAAAAAAACCAAACAAAUUAUUUAAUAAAUGCAUUUUUUAAAGUUUUUCUGAAACAUAAUUUAGAAAGUUUCUUUAAAAAGUUGACUUUUCCAAACAAUGAUCAUUAUGUGUAUUGUUGAAUUAUUUUUUUGUAGAUUCGUCCAUAUUAAAAUGUUUUUUUUCCUCUCUCUGUUGAGGCAUACGAUAGAAAGAUUUGAUAUUGAAUGUAUCAAAUUUUGGGUCCGACGGCCGUGAACUUUUUUACUCUUUAAACUUCGGGAACCACGUAAAAGGAUCAAUAUAUGAAUCUGUUAUUUUUCUCUACUGUUGAAGCAUAUGAUAAAAAGAUCAUAACAUGUCAUUUUUCAUAUCGCAUGUAUUAUCAGCCCUCGGGCAAUAUCAGCCCUCGAGCCAUGCGGCUCUUGGGCUGAUAUUGAACCUAGGGCUGAAAAUACAUGCGAUAUGAAAAAUGCCAUGUAAUAAUCUGAUAUUAUCACAUGCUUCGAUUGUUAUCACAUGCCUUUCCGUAACGUUAUCACAUGGCAUUCCGGUGAUACUCGACAAAUUCCGGAA